rnacentral:rRNA from 1 species
ACGCUAAUACCGCAUACGUCCUACGGGAGAAAGCAGGGGACCUUCGGGCCUUGCGCUAUCAGAUGAGCCUAGGUCGGAUUAGCUAGUUGGUGAGGUAAUGGCUCACCAAGGCGACGAUCCGUAACUGGUCUGAGAGGAUGAUCAGUCACACUGGAACUGAGACACGGUCCAGACUCCUACGGGAGGCAGCAGUGGGGAAUA